AAACUCCCUUGCUCAUCAUACAUGGUCAACCCCUAACUACCUCGAAGUUCACCAGAUAUGUAAGAUUAUUGUUCACAAGAAUCUGGUACGAUACCGUAGCAUUCACUGGCCACUCAUUUCGUAUCGGGCUGCUACAUCAGCCUCCAGCCAAAACAUACCGGUGCAUAUCAUCAAAAAAUUAGGCAGAUGGAAGUCAUCAGCAUACAACCGUUACAUACCUCAACCUGAGAAAGAGAUAAGACAGGCAUUUAAACAAUUGGCGAAAUAAGAAUUCACGGGUGACUUAAUG